rnacentral:lncRNA from 1 species
CUGGAGAGACAUGUGGAUUAUUUAUUACAAAGUCACUUGCUGGAAAGGUUAGAGGCUGAGAAGUAAUUAUUUUUUCCUUUUCUUCCUUUUUUUUUUUUCUCCUCUUUUUUUUUUUUUUUUUCCAAUGCUGGAAUCAUCAGGGGAGACCAGCUGAAGUUCCUCUGUGAAAUAUUCCAUCCUGCCUAAGUCCCCCUUUUGUCCCCUCUCCCAUGGCAGCCAAUGGGACUGGUCCUUCAAGGAGGAUGUUGAACUGGACCUCAUGAAGCCUUCAGUGCUGGGAGCGUGUUUUGGGCUGAAAUCCCUGCCCAGCACUCACCCUUUACACCUGGGAAUCCGAGGGGUUUCCCACUCUUAUUUCAGCAUGUCACAGCUGCAGCCAGGCUCAGUUUUGAGGCUGAGCUCACCUAACCAAGCAGGAAGGGCAGCUGGUUCACAUGGCAAGCCUGGCACACGACUGGUGCAAUUCCAAAACUAGAGCAGGAUCAGAGAGAUGCUCAGUGAUAAAUUAUUUCCACCACACAACCAGUGUGUUCUCUUUCUGGCUAGAUGGGAUCUUGCAAGAGGUACAUUUUGUGUUGUUUUGGGAUAUUCUAAGAGCUGAAAGGACAGGAGGAAAAUCCUGAUGUGUCUCUGCACUGAGAUGCUCUGACAAGAUAGAGUUUUUGAUACUUUUGAUAUUUACCCUAGAACAAUCCUAUUUAUUUUGAUCCUGUUUACCUGUUUACCUUCAGGACACCAUAACAAGAUGGAUCAGAUUGCUUGGGGGUAAUUCUAAAAAUUUCAGAAGAUAAAAAAUAACUACAUGAACAUGGGAUACUACAGCAGACACCUUGACUAGCCACAUAUUGGUAGUGUGGGCAGAUGGACUUCAUCUCGCUCGUGAAUAUUCAGAUGGAGCCUCACCUCUGCGGAGCGCGGUGAUGGAGCUGGGAGGAAUAACUGGAUGUGACACGCGGCUGAUCACGCACAGAUGGCACUUAACAAGGCAAAUGAGUGAGCUGAUGGGCUUCACUGGAGCCUCCAGACAAGGCAGAGAUGGAGUUUGCUUAGCCCUGGAGUUUGAGUGACCUGGGGAUAAUUCACAGAAGAGCUCUCCCUGUACCUGCUGAAAGGACACAUCUGGGUUCAGGGCAGCUGUAGCUGUCUAUUUCCUCUUUCCAAGCCCUCCAAGAUUUUUUCACUCUGGCAUUCUGGCCCUUCAAAAAUAUCUUCUCUAUUAACACAUCCCCCAGGAGAGCUGGAUAAU